rnacentral:rRNA from 1 species
GACGAACGCUGGCGGCGUGCUUAACACAUGCGAGUCGUACGGUAAGGCCCUUUCGGGGGUACACGAGUGGCGAACGGGUGAGUAACACGUGAGUAACCUGCCCACAACUUUGGGAUAACGCUAGGAAACUGGUGCUAAUACUGGAUAUGUGCUCCUGCUGCAUGGUGGGGGUUGGAAAGCUCCGGCGGUUGUGGAUGGACUCGCGGCCUAUCAGCUUGUUGGUGGGGUAGUGGCCUACCAAGGCGGCGACGGGUAGCCGGCCUGAGAGGGUGACCGGCCACAUUGGGACUGAGAUACGGCCCAGACUCCUACGGGAGGCAGCAGUGGGGAAUAUUGCACAAUGGGCGCAAGCCUGAUGCAGCAACGCCGCGUGCGGGAUGACGGCCUUCGGGUUGGAAACCGCUUUCAGCAGGGACGAAGCUUUUUGUGACGGUACCUGCAGAAGAAGCACCGGCUAACUACGUG